rfam:Firmicutes bacterium CAG:308 genomic scaffold, scf8
AUAAAGACGUUGAAAAGAAGUAGUACAGGGCUAGAUCUUCAAAGAGAAAUGACGGUUGGUGUAAGUCAUAAGAGAAAGCUAUGGAACGUGUCUUGGAGUCGCAUUGUCGAAAUUGGGAGGCAAUGAUCGUUAAUUCGCGUUAAGAAUGAGGUGUCGCUCAUAUUGAACGAGCGGAAUUAAGGUGGUACCGCGUAUAUUACGUCCUUUGU